rnacentral:rRNA from 1 species
UACAGAGGAGCCAAGCGUUGUCCGGAUUGACUGGGCGUAAAGCGCACGCAGGCGGAUACGCGCGUGGGGUGUGAAAUCUGGCCGCUUAACGGCCAGGCGCCAUCCCAUACGGCGUGUCUGGAGCUGUGCAGAGGUCGGUGGAAUUGCCGGUGUAGUGGUGAAAUGCGUAGAGAUCGGCAGGAACACCCAGGGGGAAGCCAGCCGACUGGGCACAUGCUGACGCUGAGGUGCGAGAGCGUGGGGAGCGAACCGG